UCAUCUGCAUUUUCCCCAGUCAUUGGUAUGAGGGGCAGGCCUGUGGACAUGUGAUGCAGAGUAAAUGCAGGCAAGUUUAUGUUUUUUCAUAGAGACAUUUGCCUCUAGGCUCUGAACAUUU
ensembl:snoRNA